GUGGGGAAUAUUGGACAAUGGGCGCAAGCCUGAUCCAGCAAUGCCGCGUGGGUGAAGAAGGUCUUCGGAUCGUAAAGCCCUUUCGACAGGGACGAUGAUGACGGUACCUGUAGAAGAAGCCCCGGCUAACUUCGUGCCAGCAGCCGCGGUAAUACGAAGGGGGCUAGCGUUACUCGGAAUUACUGGGCGUAAAGGGCGCGUAGGCGGCUCUGUUAGUCAGGCGUGAAAUUCCUGGGCUUAACCUGGGGACUGCGCUUGAUACUGCAGGGCUUGAGGCCGAGAGAGGGUGGUGGAAUUCCCAGUGUAGAGGUGAAAUUCGUAGAUAUUGGGAAGAACACCGGUGGCGAAGGCGACCACCUGGCUCGGUUCUGCCGCUGAGGCGCGACAGCGUGGGGAGCAAACAGGAUUAGAUACCCGGGUAGUCC
rnacentral:rRNA from 1 species